rnacentral:rRNA from 1 species
GAUGAACGCUGGCGGCGUGCCUAAUACAUGCAAGUCGAGCGAACGGACGAGAAGCUUGCUUCUCUGAUGUUAGCGGCGGACGGGUGAGUAACACGUGGAUAACCUACCUAUAAGACUGGGAUAACUUCGGGAAACCGGAUCUAAUACCGGAUAAUAUUUUGAACCGCAUGGUUCAAAAGUGAAAGACGGUCUUGCUGUCACUUAUAGAUGUAUCCGCGCUGCAUUAGCUAGUUGGUAAGGUAACGGCUUACCAAGGCAACGAUGCAUAGCGGACCUGAGAGGGGGAUCGGCCACACGGGGACGGAGACACGGACAAGACUCCUACGGGAGGAAGCAGAAGGGAAUCUUACGCAAUGGGCGAAAGCAUGACGGAGCAACGCCGCGUGAGUGAUGAAGGUCUUCGGAUCGUAAAACUCUGUUAUUAGGGAAGAACAUAUGUGUAAGUAACUGUGCACAUCUUGACGGUACCUAAUCAGAAAGCCACGGCUAACUACGUG